rnacentral:lncRNA from 1 species
AUUUUUCAUGGCCUAAUAGCUAGUUUCUUUAGUGCUGAGUAAUAUUCCAUUGUCUGUGUGUACUGCAGGUUAUCAGUCCAUUCACCUGCUGAAGGACAUCUUGGUUGCUGCAGAUGGCUUCUGAGAUGAGGAAUUCUUUUCUCCUAAGUCUUAAGUGGAAGCUGAUUAUGUAAAUCAGAAUAAAGGCAGAGAUGUUCUCAUUGAAGGAGAAAUAUUUUCCCUUCGACCCACACCCCUCCCAGGAUCCAGAAGCACCUAGGAUACUCUUGGCCUCGCCCGGUCUUGUCCUUGCUGUCAUCGGGGUGACUGGUUCUGUGAUGAGGUCCAACUGGUUCAUGACUGACAGACCUCGUCUCUGAUCCCUUUUGUCCAUCUUGUCUCCUGGCCUGCAUGUGAGUUCCACGUAUUUUAGUGAAGAAAACAAUUGAACAUGAUUUCCUUCUGAGGAUACAGAGUUGAAAAGCUAAUCACAGACGCACAGGUCUCGGUAGGAGAAGCCUUCUGUGUUUUGUGGGGGUCUGGAGCAAGGUGUGAGGAGGGAGGAGGGUGAGGUGUGUAUUCUGGAGAACUGGGGUGAGCUCUGCUUUAAGAAAAUGUAAUAUAAGAAAACUUAUAUUAGUCACAUAAGAAAAUUGGAGGGAGGGUUAUUUUCAUAAGAGUUCACCUCUGAAGAAAAUUUCCCCUCAAUUUUUUAAAUAUAGUAGAAUCCUUCCAGAGAAUAUGGAUUUAUUAUUACUACUAAUAUUAUUAUUAUUAACAACAAAAUAUUACUACUGUGUUUAUUUCUCAGCAAUAAUUCUAUCAUAUGAAUUCAUGUGUUUAUUUUGUAUAUUAAGUGUGCUUGCCUCCCCUCACCUAUUUUCUCCUUUAACUGGUUUCUAAUUGCUUUGGGGGUUUGGAGAAAGUCAAACAGAAUCUCUCAAAAUUGAGACAUUUACUAGGAAGACGUGGUGAUAACAUAAGUUAAAACAGCUUCAUUCUCUUUUCAGUUGUUUCAAC